rnacentral:rRNA from 1 species
AGAGGUCUCAAGCGUUGUUCGGAUUCAUUGGCGUAAAGGGUGCGUAGGUGGCGCUGUAAGUCGGUGUGAAAUUCGGAGCUUAACUCCGAAACUGCAUUCGAUAUUGCGGUGCUUGAGGACUGGAGAGGAGACGUGGAAUUCGAUGGUGAGCAGUGAAAUGCGUAGAGAUCAAUGAGGAAGACCAGUGGCGAAGGCGGUCUCUGGGCCGAUACUGACGCUGGAGGAGCGAAAGCGUGGGGAGCGAACAGG